AAUCCCGUGAACCAUYGAGUUUUUGAACGCAAGUUGCGCCCGAAGCCUUCGGGCCGAGGGCAAGCCUGCCUGGGGGUCAAGCAUNSCGUCGCCCCCUCCACCCCGUCCUCGUAGGCGGGGGGGGCGGAGACUGGCCUCCCGUGCGCUCUCGUCGCGCGGCCGGCCC
rnacentral:rRNA from 1 species